GGGCCUGAACCCAGGAACUUCCUUACUGAGAGAUAAAGAGGAGCCCACAUGGUCUUCGCUGGACUUACAACCUGGAGAGGCUUCAGAUGUCUACACUCUUCUCAUCGAGAGUAUCAACAGGGUAACCAUGUUUUCCCUUUGCUUCCUCCACUUUCACUUCCCCUAGUUUUAUGCAGGAAGUGCUUUGGUCCUACCAACCCUCCCUCCUGGGAGAUUCUUCUUGAGAUACUUCGGGGGAUCCACC